GUCUCCUGUGGUACAGUUUAUCACUUGUUUUGCUCGCUCUCAUUUGCGUAAGCAUCUCUCGGGUCCCAUAGUGACUGUUGUCAGGGGCGACAGUCGCGACGUCGCCUCGCACUGAUCCAAGAAACCACCAGGUGAAAGUAAACUGCAUCAGGAAAGAUAAAGUUGAGGAGGGGAAAAAAGAGCCAUUUGCACCUCCACAAAUGAGAGUACUCCAGGAAGUCCAUUAAUUGAAGCGGUUCAGGGAAAGCAGCUGCUUAUCGGAGCAUUUAAAGGCAAGUGAGCGAGUCGGAGCGGCUUCAGCAAGAUAAAUGUGAAUUUACUUGCAGAGCCUGACAGCUUUCGACCCGGUCCUGGAUUCGGACUGUUUAGAAAUUCACUAGAGAUUCUUGGGCCUCAGCUGAGAGCUGAGUACAAUUUUUCCUUAAUUAUAUAUUUUUUCUUCUUUCAAGGCUGUCUUACACAUUUAGCAAGUUUAAGAAUCCAACGAACCAUACACUGAUAAAGCACAAUUUGAAUUGGGCUGAGGAUCAAAUGUGCUGAAGCAUGGCAAACUAUUGCCUUUUGUCCUGUGAACAAGCUUUUGAAACCAUCAAAUAUUAAAUACUUUUCUCUCUGCUACCGGACCUAGAUACUCAUACUGCUUGAACAACUUAAAGAAAAAAAAUCACGAUGUGACUGCCCUGAACUGAGCUGUCUGUACCAACUAUACCAACAAAUCCCCUCAGAAAAACACACAAGAAACUCAGAUGCAUGGAAAAUAUUCAAAAAUAUUAGUUUGGUUUCAUCAUUUGUUUAUCCUCAUUUUGCUAGUCGAACAACAGAUAUUUCUUCACUCGUGAUCAAGUCUAAAGGUUUCUGCUGCAGCUCCUGACAUUUAAGCCUGAAUAUUUCAUCAUUAUGAUGCAUUAUUGGGUAAAAAAUGUCAGUGUGAUCCUGCCCACCACACCACAGUCAUGCAGUUCAAUCUUCAGCAGGAGAAUCAGACAGGACCACAGGGCUUUCUGUCAGCCAUCUGGAUUAUUUUACGAGAAACAGGAGAGGUUUGUCAGCUCACUCUUCAGUUCAGUGUAAUGGCAAGCAGGAGGCCAGUCUUAAAUGUGAUCGCAAAUCAUUCACUGUUUAUAUGCAAACUAAGUCUGCAUCUGAUCAACAGGAUGAUAAAGGUAUAUGGUUUUAUUUUAGUCGCACAAUUCAUGAACUUUAAUUAUUCUGUUCUGUAUAUCAUUAGUGGUUUUAGGGAAUUGUGAAAUUGUUAGAAUGAUAAUGCUUGUCUAAAAAAAGCAAAAUGCUUCACAAAAAAAUGUGUCACUUUCACAAAAACACUUUAAAAAUGAGCUUUUUAGGCUAUUUGAAAAUAAAAUUUAGCAAAACUUCAAGUCACAUGGUUUAAAUAAAGGUCAAAUGUUAAAUGAAAACACCAGUGCUCAACUUGUAAAUGAAUAAUUUCCAGAAUAAAACCAGGAAAUAAAGGUUAUCGUGACCAACUUCCA